AAGCUGGGUUACGGUGCCCAACUGCGCGCUAACCUAGAACCCACAAAGGAUGUUGGUCGAUUAAGACAGCAGGACAGUGGUCAUGGAAGUCGAAAUCCGCUAAGGAGUGUGUAACAACUCACCU
rnacentral:ncRNA from 1 species